CGGGGGGAGCAAGCGUUGUUCGGAUUUACUGGGCGUAAAGGGCGCGUAGGCGGCCAGCACAAGUCAGUUGUGAAAUCUCCGGGCUUAACUCGGAAAGGUCAACUGAUACUGUGCGGCUAGAGUGCAGAAGGGGCAACUGGAAUUCUCGGUGUAGCGGUGAAAUGCGUAGAUAUCGAGAGGAACACCUGCGGCGAAGGCGGGUUGCUGGGCUGACACUGACGCUGAUGCGCGAAAGCCAGGGGAGCGAACGGGAUUAGAUACCCCGGUAGCCCUGGCCUUAAACGAUGGAUGCUUGGUGUCUGGAGUUUUAUAGUCUCCGGGUGCCGCAGCUAACGCGUUAAGCAUCCCGCCUGGGGAUACGGUCGCAAGACUG
rnacentral:rRNA from 1 species